AUGUACCACUCUUACACUGCGGUUCUGAACGCGCGGUCCGCGCCCACCUGGCCGGUUGCUCGCUACGUUUUGCUAGCU
rnacentral:sRNA from 5 species